CUCUGCUCGAUCCCUGCCGAGUGAAAGAGAUCUUUGGUUUUGCCUUUGCUGACUGCUGAUCUGAUCGUCUCAAGUCUGGUGACCUGCUGCAGAAAACCCUCUCCCUCUAUCAUUAACAAGCAAUUCAGUCUGUCCUAUCACUCUCCUCUCCCUGCUCCAUCUUUUUUGACAAGCCAUUCUAUCUUCUAUCAUUUCUCCGCCACGAGCUCUAUCUAAUUUGACAAGCUUGAACCUGAGUUGAAACGCAAUCCUGUGACUUGAAAUCAAGUUUUACCAGAAUCUAAGUUUUUGGAAUUGAAGUUACCAGAACUUCGUCGAUCUGUUUUCAGAAUUCUGAGAGAUCUCCGCUCUCACUGCUCCAUCUUUCCUGUCGUUAAACUCUCUCACAUUCAGUCAUUUUGCUGAAAAUCACAAGUAGAAAGUUGAAAUUACAGUAGUAGAAUUACACUACAGUAGAACUCACAGUAGAAACUACUUACACAGUCCUACAUUUGUCAUUUUAAUUUUUACAUUACACUUUGGAAUAAACACUGAUAGUUUGGCUUACGGGUGCUGUUACUUAAUACACACCUUUUUCAAGGUUU